ACGAACGCUGGCGGCGUGCUUAACACAUGCAAGUCGAGCGGUAAGGCCCUUUCGGGGGUACACGAGCGGCGAACGGGUGAGUAACACGUGGGUGACCUGCCCUCAGCUCUGGGAUAAGCCUGGGAAACCGGGUCUAAUACUGGAUAUGACUCCAUGACGCAUGUUGUGGGGUGGAAAGCCUUGUGCGGCUGAGGAUGGGCCCGCGGCCUAUCAGCUUGUUGGUGGGGUGAUGGCCUACCAAGGCGACGACGGGUAGCCGGCCUGAGAGGGCGACCGGCCACACUGGGACUGAGACACGGCCCAGACUCCUACGGGAGGCAGCAGGUGGGGAAUCUUGCGCAAUGGGCGAAAGCCUGACGCAGCGACGCCGCGUGAGGGAUGACGGCCGUGG
rnacentral:rRNA from 1 species